GUGGGGAAUCUUGCGCAAUGGGCGAAAGCCUGACGCAGCCAUGCCGCGUGAAUGAUGAAGGUCUUAGGAUUGUAAAAUUCUUUCACCGGGGACGAUAAUGACGGUACCCGGAGAAGAAGCCCCGGCUAACUUCGUGCCAGCAGCCGCGGUAAUACGAAGGGGGCUAGCGUUGCUCGGAAUUACUGGGCGUAAAGGGCGCGUAGGCGGAUCGUUAAGUCAGGUGUGAAAUCCCAGAGCUCAACUCUGGAACUGCCCUUGAUACUGGCGAUCUUGAGUGUGAGAGAGGUAGGUGGAACUCCGAGUGUAGAGGUGAAAUUCGUAGAUAUUCGGAAGAACACCAGUGGCGAAGGCGACAUACUGGCUCAUUACUGACGCUGAGGCGCGAAAGCGUGGGGAGCAAACAGGAUUAGAUACCCGUGUAGUCC
rnacentral:rRNA from 1 species